rnacentral:rRNA from 1 species
CUCGUGAACCAAAUAUGGUGGGCUGGGUUGUCUUUGCGGAAACGCUUGGGCGACUUGUCUACAAUUGUAAUCAUAAUAUGGGCGGCGGUGAAUCCUUUGCAGACGACUUGAAUGGGAACGGGGUACUGUAAGUGGUAGAGUAGCCUUGUUGCUACGAUCCACUGAGGUUAAGCCCUUGUUCUAAAGAU